GUAUCAUUUGCAUGGGCAGGCUAUGCUUCGAGGUGGACACCGGGGCCGGCGUCGUAGAGCUGGUUGAAGGAGUGUCCCAGAUCUUCUUCGACGAUUCGCUCACGCUUCUAGGGACGUGCAUGAAGGAAGGAGCUAUUCGACGUUUUGAUUACAUGUGAUGAGCUCUAUGCAUGGUUGUACUCUAUUUGUGGUUUGGACUCUAUGUGUGAACUUGUAUUUUAUUUGUGGUUUGGACUAUGUGUGAACUUGUAUGAUCUUAUUAUGGACAUAUGCACUCUAUUUGUGGCUUUGGUUCUUGUAUGCACUUAUUAUGGACAUAUGUUGUGUUGUUUGAUCUUGUAUGUGAUCUAUUUGUGGCAAUAGAUCAUUAUAUUGUGCAUUACAUGUUAUAUGAAUUGAAUUAUGUC